rnacentral:rRNA from 1 species
UACGUAGGUGGCGAGCGUUGUACGGAUUUACUGGGCGUAAAGGGAGCGUAGGCGGACUUUUAAGUGAGAUGUGAAAUACCCGGGCUCAACUUGGGUGCUGCAUUUCAAACUGGAAGUCUAGAGUGCAGGAGAGGAGAAUGGAAUUCCUAGUGUAGCGGUGAAAUGCGUAGAGAUUAGGAAGAACACCAGUGGCGAAGGCGAUUCUCUGGACUGUAACUGACGCUGAGGCUCGAAAGCGUGGGGAGCAAACAGGAUUAGAUACCCGGGUA